rnacentral:rRNA from 1 species
UGCGUAGGUGGUUUUUUAAGUCAGAUGUGAAAUCCCUGGGCUCAACCUAGGAAUUGCAUUUGAUACUGAAUAACUUGAGUACGGUAGAGGGAAGUGGAAUUUCCGGUGUAGCGGUGAAAUGCGUAGAUAUCGGAAGGAACAUCAGUGGCGAAGGCGACUUCCUGGACCGUUACUGACACUGAGGCACGAAAGCGUGGGGAGCGAACA